UGCAUUCAGAGUAGUAGUAAAUCUUGGAC
rnacentral:piRNA from 1 species